UGCUGACUGUCUGGGUCCUUUCCCCGUCUCUGGAACCACUUGGCUCAGUAACUUCAGACCUGCUGCCAUGAUGCCCAUCACUCCUUUUGCAAGGGAGAAAGAAUCCUUUCUCCUCCCAGAACCCAGUUCCAAGCACGGAUCUUACUAUACUGUGGAGUUCUCGACACAUAGCAGCUGUCUCAGCCAUGUUCAACCCGUGACUCAGACAUGACCACACACACCUGAGAGACAAUAGGAGUGGACUCAGGGCCCGGACAAGUGAGAGGCACAGGAGACCCUCGCCUUGGGCACCAAAUGUACCAGGCCACCAAAAACUCAGAAAUCAGUACAAGUAAUAUACAAUUUUAAUAUAAAAAUGUAAAAAGACAAGUCAUAGGAAAUUUUAAUAUAAUAAUUUUAAAAGACAAAACAGGCUGGGAGCAGUGGCUCACGCGUGUCCACCCAGCACUUUGGGAGGCCAAGGUGGGCAGAUCACUUGAGGAGUUUGAGACCAGCCUGGCCAACAUGGUAAAACCCUAUGCCCACUAAAAAUAAAAAAUAUUAGCCAAGCA
rnacentral:lncRNA from 13 species